rnacentral:rRNA from 1 species
AACGAACGCUGGCGGCAGGCUUAACACAUGCAAGUCGAGCGCCCCGCAAGGGGAGCGGCAGACGGGUGAGUAACGCGUGGGAAUCUACCCAUCUCUACGGAAUAACGCAUGGAAACGUGUGCUAAUACCGUAUACGUCCUUCGGGCGAAAGAUUUAUCGGAGAUGGAUGAGCCCGCGUUGGAUUAGCUAGUUGGUGGGGUAAAGGCCUACCAAGGCGACGAUCCAUAGCUGGUCUGAGAGGAUGAUCAGCCACACUGGGACUGAGACACGGCCCAGACUCCUACGGGAGGCAGCAGUGGGGAAUAUUGGACAAUGGGCGCAAGCCUGGUCCAGCCAUGCCGCGUGAGUGAUGAAGGCCCUAGGGUUGUAAAGCUCUUUCACCGGUGAAGAUAGUGACGGUAACCGGAGAAGAAGCCCCGGCUAACUUCGUGCCAGCCGCCGCAGUAAAAC